UGGAAAUGGUGGUCGGGAAGCAGCCCCGCCCCUCAUGGAGGCGUGGCGUUCGCGCCCCACUGCCGGCUGCGUCUUCUCCCUCGCUGAAAGUCUGAAGGGAGCCGGCUUACGUUUCUGCUCCGCUUGCCUAGUGAGUCUUGAGCUGGCUUGAGGCAAUGCUGCACUUAACAGUAUAUUGUAAAGCUUGAAGUACUGUAUUACGUUGCCUGGCUGUUACUCCAGUGCUAGGAAAGUGGUUGGAAGGAUGAGGAAGACAAUGAACAAAAGGAGGCAUUUGGAAGGAUUUGUUUUACUUCAAAAACAAGAAUACUAAGCUUCCAUCCUGCUGCUUAAUCUGUUUCAAACCCAUUACAUGUAGUAUAAAGUGUUUGGGUACUUCGUUAAAUCCAACAGAAUAGAGAUGGUCUUAAAAGGAAUUUCCCUGCCCUAAAGCUCUAAGGGUGGCUAAAGAUAGGGUGUUACUACUGUAUUCUGCAGUUAUUGACCUAGAAAAUUUAAGAAAAGGUACAUAACUGACCACAGAAAUGGCCCAGCUUUACAGUUUUCAAAAGGCUUCUGUAUUAGGCAAUUUUCUUAACAGUUGCAAAAAAUGAGGGACGAAAUUUACCAUUUGAUGGGAGUCUUCUCAAACACGUGGUAUAAAUGAUCCUGGUCCAUUGAAAACUGGUUCAUCAAACAGCAGUUGUGCUGCUA
rnacentral:lncRNA from 1 species